UACGUAGGUGGCAAGCGUUGUCCGGAUUUAUUGGGUUUAAAGGGUGCGUCAGGCGAUUCUGUAAGUCAGUGGUGAAAUCCGGCAGCUCAACUGUCGAUGUGCCAUUGAUACUGCAGAACUUGAGUACAGACGAGGUAGGCGGAAUUGACGGUGUAGCGGUGAAAUGCUUAGAUAUCGUCAAGAACACCGAUAGCGAAGGCAGCUUACUAGACUGUAACUGACGCUGAUGCACGAAAGUGUGGGGAUCAAACAGG
rnacentral:rRNA from 1 species